rnacentral:rRNA from 1 species
UACGGGGGGAGCAAGCGUUGUUCGGAUUUACUGGGCGUAAAGGGCGCGUAGGCGGUCAGCACAAGUCAAUUGUGAAAUCUCCGAGCUUAACUCGGAAAGGUCAACUGAAACUGUGCGACUAGAGUGCAGAAGGGGCAACUGGAAUUCUUGGUGUAGCGGUGAAAUGCGUAGAUAUCAAGAGGAACACCAGUGGCGAAGGCGGUCUGCUGGGCAGUUGCUGACACUGAGGCGCGACAGCGUGGGGAGCAAACAGG